AGAGUUUGAUCCUGGCUCAGGACGAACGCUGGCGGCGUGCUUAACACAUGCAAGUCGAACGGAAAGGCCUGCAGCUUGCUCGGNGUACUCGAGUGGCGAACGGGUGAGUAACACGUGGGUGAUCUGCCUUGCACUUCGGGAUAAGCUUAGGAAACUGGGUCUAAUACCGGAUAGGACAGCUGUUUAGUGUCAAUUGUGGAAAGUUUUUUCGGUGCAAGAUGGAGCUCACGGCCUAUCAGCUUGUUUGGUGGGGUAAUGGGCUACCAAGGCGUCGACGGGUAGCCGGCCUGAGAGGAUGUACGGCCACAUUGGGACUGAGAUACGGCCCAAACUCUACGGAAGGCAGCAGUGGGGAAUAUUGCACAAUGGGCGGAAGCCUGAUGCAGCGACGCCGCGUGGGGGAUGAAGGCCUUCAGGUUGUAAACUCCUUUCGACAGGGACGAAGCGUAAGUGACGGUACCUGUAUUAGAAGCACCGGCUAACUACGUGCCAGCAGCCGCGGUAAU
rnacentral:rRNA from 1 species